rnacentral:rRNA from 1 species
UUAGAGUUUGAUCCUGGCUCAGGGCGAACGCUGGCGGCGUGCCUUAGACAUGCAAGUCGAGCAGCUGGCGUCCUUCGGGGCGCCCAGCGCGGCGAACGGCGGAGUAACACGUGGGUAACCUGCCCCGAAGACUGGGACAAUCCGAGGAAACUCGGUAAAUACCGGAUGUGGAUGCUUUGGCUUCGGCUGAAGCAUCUAAAGGUGCAAGCCGCUUCGGGAUGGGCCCGCGGCCUAUCAGGUUGUUGGUGAGGUAACGGCUCACCAAGCCGACGACGGGUAGCCGGUCUGAGAGGAUGAUCGGCCCGAGGGGCACUGAGACACGGGCCCCACUCCUACGGGAGGCAGCAGUCGGGAAUUUUGGGCAAUGGGCGCAAGCCUGACCCAGCGACGCCGCGUGGAGGACGAAGCCCUUCGGGGUGUAAACUCCUUUUAGUGGGGACGAACGCAGACGGUACCCACAGAAAAAGCCCCGGCUAACUACGUGCCAGCAGCCGCGGUAAUACGUAGGGGGCGAGCGUUGCCCGAAUUUACUGGGCGUAAAGCGCACGUAGGCGGCUUCGUAAGUCUGGUGUGAAAUCUCACGGCUCAACCGAGAGGCUGCACCAGAUACUGCGAAGCUCGAGGACGGGAGAGGAGAUCGGAAUUCCCGGUGUAGCGGUGAAAUGCAUUGAUAUCGGGAGGAACACCAGUGGCGAAGGCGGAUCUCUGGCCCGUUGCUGACGCUGAGGUGCGAAAGCUGGGGGAGCGAAAGGGAUUAGAUACCCCUGUAGUCCCAGCCUAACGAUGGGCGCUAGGUGUUGGGG